GUUGCAGAACAUUUUUCUUCACAUGCCAAAAAGCCUGUCCCUGGGGCUCCAACAUCUCUGGACUCUGGUUUUAAUACUCUUUCAGUGUAAAUGGAGCCUAAAUCCCAUUCAAAGCAAACCACUGAAACUUGAGCUCCUUGCCCUCCCCGCCACCUCAGCAGCCCUGAGGUCUUCCAGUAUUUCAGAAGGAAGAUCACCACCAUUUCACAGUCUCAGCUCAGCGUUGAAGAAGCCCUGAGGUGCCCAUGUUGAACUGAGACUCUUCCAGCAUCCAGGCUGAAAGGCUGAGCUGGCAUCACAGUGACUUCUAGCUCUACACUUGAGACAGAAGAUUUGUUGGUCCAUGCCACCUCCGGAGGAGCAUGUCUCUGAGUGCCAGGAUAACUGCACUCCUCCCCCAUCCCUGCCCCUUCCCUCUCCCCCCCCCCCAAAAAAAAACCUAUAUGAGAUUAUUUUUUAUUAUUAUUAUUGUUAUUAUUAUUAUCGCUUGUCAUUUCCUUUUGAAGGAUAUGCAUGAAAUUUCUAUACAACAUUCCAAGCCCAACACCACUGGAAGGUGUUACUGGUAUUCCCAUCUCAUGAAACACCUCUCAUCUAGGUUUCCAAAUUUAUUUUACUUUAAUAUUAAACUUAUCUCCAUAUGAUGGAACUAUUUGGGGGGAAAAAAAGACAUAUUUUAUAAAAUAUACAAUAAGGGGAUAUGUAAGAAACCCAGUACACUAUAAACAGAAAAGGGGUCAGGAAAAAGGUACUCACUUCUGGCAAAUUAGUAGUUUCUUUUGCAGCUUUUGAAAUUUUUAAUAUAAUUUUGUUGGCUAUCAUAACAGCGGAGAAUUAUCCUUGCAAGGCUAGACUCUCAGUAAAAUUCUAUUCUAAAAAUUCUAUAUUAAAAUAUUAACUAUCAAUUUAAAAUAUUUUCAUGCCAGAAUGACUUAUUUUCAUGAGAACGCAGUAUUAUCUUCCUGAUUUUGUUGUCAUUAGAAGUCAUGAUUAUUAUCCCUGUGUCAUUAACUACUUUUCAGCUAGGUCUCUGGUUAAUUGUUUGCUCCACAACAAUCUUUUCCUCAUUCAUGCAUUGUUUACGAGUCUUUUAACUGGCUUCUUGUUUAUUGAGAUCUUAUUUACUUGAUUAUACUCUCAUCCACUGUUAAGUGAAAAAAAAUAAACUCCUCAUAGUUGUUACCAGGCUUUGGCCAUUAAUUACUGCUGCAAUAUUACCUCUUCUAGAUACAUCUCCUUUGGUGUUACUACUUUACAAAGAUUUGUUUUCUGCAAAUGGUCCAUGACAGAUUUAUAAUAAUUUCUCUGAAAUAUAUAGAAAAUAGAAUGCUUGCAGAAGACUACAAACACAUGAAAAUGAAGGAAAAUAAAUAACAGAAUUAAACCCAUUGCUGUUUACUUGUGUUGGCCUCAAUUUGGCUUACAGCUUAAAGAAAUCAUGCAAAUGGACAGAUGCAAAAUCAGUGCUGGGCAAAACUGAUAUUUUGUGGGCAAUCACACAAACAAUAAAAAUCAGUUUAAGUUCAGUGAAAGCAGAACAUUGAGAUUUUUAUAACCUUCAUAUAAAACUGUUACAGGUCAACCUAAAUAUUUGAUUACUUAAAAACAAAAAAAAAAAAAA